CCAGGCUCCACUUCAAAGGGCAAAGCCAACAGACCAUCCUAGAGGCAGUGGCUGCUCAACAAUGCACAGUGCCAACGAUCUAGGUUUGAAAGCAGAAUCUAGGUUUGAAAGCAGAAAGCUUCACCAUCAACCAAGGUCAUGACCGCUCGACAGGUUGUGAAAUCUGAAGUUGGGAAGAGGUGCCAGUCCCCAUUCUAAGAUGGUCCUGUAAAGUUCCAGGCUAGCCUGUGCUAUGACUGAGACCUUGCCUCAAAUGAACAAGCAAACAAAAGAGAACCCUGAAGCCCAUCUUCUCCCCCUUCCACCUUCCCAGGAGUUAGAAAAGAGGCCCUGCCUCAGAUAAGCCACCUGGGCUCACUCUGCAUGACAUAUGUCUGGGCUUUGGAGGAUGCCCUCUGACUACAUCACUGUGUGGAGGCUGCCCCAGGCCAUGACUGUACGCUCCACUCUUUACCAACUCAUGCCUGAAUUUCAUGGAGAUG
rnacentral:lncRNA from 1 species